rnacentral:rRNA from 1 species
AAUCAACGCUGGCGGCGUGCCUAACACAUGCAAGUCGAACGCGAAAAGGGCUUCGGCUCUGAGUAGAGUGGCGUCCGGGUGAGUAACGCGUGGGUAAUCUACCUUUGGGUGGGGAAUAACUAGUCGAAAGGCUAGCUAAUACCGCAUAACGCAAUUUUCUAUUAGGGAAUUGUUAAAGCAGUAAUGUGCCUAAAGAUGAGCCUGCGUCUGAUUAGUUUGUUGGUAGGGUAAUGGCCUACCAAGACUACUAUCAGUAGCUGGUCUGAGAGGACGGCCAGCCACAAUGGCACUGAAACACGGGCCAUACUCCUACGGGAGGCAGCAGUGGGGAAUUUUGCGCAAUGAGCGAAAGACUUGACGCAGCAACGCCGCGUGAAGGAUGAAAUCC